AAAUCCACAGGCUGACAAAUUCUUUUCUUCUUUUUGCCGGUGCCUUUUAUUUUCGAAGAAAGAAAAAAAAACCCCACUGGCGCAAAUGGGAACCCAUAAGCUGUAAAGUUAAAGACAAGUCGACUUCCGUUGUCAUUUGCUGCUCCGAGUGCAAAUGAGGAUUCGUCGAAGCCAUGCUUGUCUCACUGAUGCUUUCUCCUACAGCCUGCUCCUGUCUUGGUUUUUCGCACAAAACAAGAAAGGAAAAAAAUUAAGGGUAAGGUCCCCUUUUCCAAGUGGCCAGAAUUGCAGUGCAAAAUGCAUAGUGAAUGUAAGUCUUUCCCGAAUUGCAUGUCUGCGAUGCCGGGCAAAAACACCUUUAAAUAGCUUAAGUUACUACUAAGCCAAACACUGUGAAAUGGUUUUUAUGGCAAUUGACGACGAUUUUAAACUGCGUCUCCACAAGAAUACUGGCAUGCAUGUUACAGUUAUUUCCCCUCUUUAAAACCAAAGGCAGUAACCAUUUGAGGAAUUCGGACUAAUCCAAACUUUAAGGGGAACAUUUUCCCCCAUUGUGUGAAGCCUUUAACGAGCUGGGAUUUAAUUGGGGUCUGAACUUUGAAUGCGUGUAUUUUUUCCCUAUUGGCAGGGGGCAUGUUUGCAAACAGAUCUUUAACUUAUAGCUAUAAAACCGUGCGGCGUCCGGGGGGCCAGGCUGUGUAACCGUGUGUGCGUGCGUGCCGCUGCUCAACGCUUCCCCUUUCCGCCGCACUCCCCCUCCCCGC
rnacentral:lncRNA from 1 species